AUGGAUUGUUCAAACAAUUUGGAUAGUAAAGCUAAUGAAAUUGAUAGCUUUAAUGGUGAGCUUGUAAAUUGGGAGUCUGUAACAGGAAUGCCUUUUUCUUCUAUAGAUGAAGUUAAAUCAUUUUAUGAAAAAUAUGCUUCUAUAAAGGAUUUUGGAUGGAAAGUUAGAUCAUCAAAGAAAGGGGAGAUGGGGAGAUACAUUAUGCAAUUCUAUUAUGCACAAGAGAAUGAUAUCGUGUGUCAGAAAUACCUUGUACAUUGA